rnacentral:rRNA from 1 species
UACGUAGGGUGCAAGCGUUAAUCGGAAUUACUGGGCGUAAAGCGUGCGCAGGCGGUUGAUGUACAGACAGAUGUGAAAUCCCCGGGCUCAACCUGGGAAUUGCAUUUGUGACUGCACGGCUAGAGUGUGUCAGAGGGGGGUAGAAUUCCACGUGUAGCAGUGAAAUGCGUAGAGAUGUGGAGGAAUACCGAUGGCGAAGGCAGCCCCCUGGGAUAACACUGACGCUCAUGCACGAAAGCGUGGGGAGCAAACAGG